AUUAAACGCUGGCGGCAUGCCUUACACAUGCAAGUCGAACGGCAGCACGGGGGGAACCCUGGUGGCGAGUGGCGAACGGGUGAGUAAAGCAUCGGAACGUGCCCUGGAGUGGGGGAUAACGUAGCGAAAGUUACGCUAAUACCGCAUAUUCUGUGAGCAGGAAAGCAGGGGAUCGCAAGACCUUGCGCUCUGGGAGCGGCCGAUGUCGGAUUAGCUAGUUGGUGGGGUAAAGGCCUACCAAGGCGACGAUCCGUAGCGGGUCUGAGAGGAUGAUCCGCCACACUGGGACUGAGACACGGCUCAGACUCCUACGGGAGGCAGCAGUGGGGAAUUUUGGACAAUGGGCGAAAGCCUGAUCCAGCCAUGCCGCGUGAGUGAAGAAGGCCU
rnacentral:rRNA from 1 species